rnacentral:rRNA from 1 species
CCGGCGACCGGCGCACGGGUGAGUAACACGUAUGCAACCUGCCCCUGUCAGGGGGACAACCUUCCGAAAGGGAGGCUAAUCCCGCGUAUAUCGGUUUCGGGCAUCCGAGAUCGAGGAAAGAUUCAUCGGAAGAGGAUGGGCAUGCGGCGCAUUAGCUAGACGGCGGGGUAACGGCCCACCGUGGCGACGAUGCGUAGGGGUUCUGAGAGGAAGGUCCCCCACACUGGUACUGAGACACGGACCAGACUCCUACGGGAGGCAGCAG